rnacentral:rRNA from 1 species
UACGAAGGGGGCUAGCGUUGCUCGGAAUCACUGGGCGUAAAGCGCACGUAGGCGGAUUGCUAAGUCAGGGGUGAAAUCCUGGAGCUCAACUCCAGAACUGCCUUUGAUACUGGCGAUCUUGAGUCCGGGAGAGGUGAGUGGAUCUGCGAGUGUAGAGGUGAAAUUCGUAGAUAUUCGCAAGAACACCAGUGGCGAAGGCGGCUCACUGGCCCGGUACUGACGCUGAGGUGCGAAAGCGUGGGGAGCAAACAGG